CCUACGGGAGGCAGCAGUCGAGAAUCAUUCACAAUGGGGGAAACCCUGAUGGAGCGACGCCGCGUGGGGGAAUGAAGGUCUCCGGAUUGUAAACUCCUGUCAUGUGGGAGCAAAUUAAAAAGAUAGUACCACAAGAGGAAGAGACGGCUAACUCGGUGCCAGCAGCCGCGGUAAUACAGAGGUCUCAAGCGUUGUUAGGAAUCACUGGGCGUAAAGCGUGCGUAGGCUGUUUCGUAAGUCGUGUGUGAAAGGCGCGGGCUCAACCCGCGGACGGCACAUGAUACUGCGAGACUAGAGUAAUGGAGGGGGAACCGGAAUUCUCGGUGUAGCAGUGAAAUGCGUAGAUAUCGAGAGGAACACUCGUGGCGAAGGCGGGUUCCUGGACAUUAACUGACGCUGAGGCACGAAGGCCAGGGGAGCGAAAAGGAUUAGAUACCCGAGUAGUC
rnacentral:rRNA from 1 species